rnacentral:rRNA from 1 species
GACGAACGCUGGCGGCGUGCUUAACACAUGCAAGUCGAACGGAAAGGCCCUGCUUUUGUGGGGUUCUCGAUUGCCGAACGGGUGUGUAACACGUGAGUAACCCGCCCUUGUCUUUGGGAUAACUUCAGGAAACUGGGGCUAAUACCGCAUAGGAGCUCCUGCUGCAUGGUGGGGGUAGGAAAGUUUCGGCGGUUCGGGAUGGACUCGCUGCUUAUCAGCUUGUUGGUGGGGUAGUGGCUUACCAAGGGUUUGACGGCUAGCCGGCAUGGGAGCGUGACCGGCGACAAUGGGACUGAGGGAGGGCCCAGAAUGCUACGGUAGGCAGCAGGGGGGAAUAUUACACAGUGGGCGGACGCCUGAGACGGCAGCGCCGCGUGCGUAAAGACGGCUUUCGGGUUGUAAACCGCUUUCGCCGGUGACGAAGCGUGCGUGACGGUAAUGGGUAAAGAAGCACCGGCUAACUACGUG